UACGUAGGGUGCGAGCGUUGUCCGGAAUUAUUGGGCGUAAAGGGCUCGUAGGCGGUCUGUCGCGUCGAAAGUGAAAACCCAGGGCUUAACCCUGGGCCUGCUUCCGAUACGGGCAGACUAGAGGUAUGCAGGGGAGAACGGAAUUCCUGGUGUAGCGGUGAAAUGCGCAGAUAUCAGGAGGAACACCGGUGGCGAAGGCGGAUCUCUGGGCCUUACCUGACGCUGAGGAGCGAAAGCAUGGGGAGCAAACAGG
rnacentral:rRNA from 1 species